UACGUAGGGAGCAAGCGUUGUCCGGAAUCAUUGGGCGUAAAGCGCGCGUAGGUGGCCCGGUAAGUCCGCUCUGAAAGUCACAGGCUCAACCUGUGAAAGCGGGUGGAUACUGCCGGGCUAGAGUCCGGAAGAGGCGAGUGGAAUUCCUGGUGUAGCGGUGGAAUGCGCAGAUAUCAGGAGGAACACCAACGGCGAAGGCAGCUCGCUGGGACGGUACUGACACUGAGGCGCGAAGGCUAGGGGAGCGAACGGG
rnacentral:rRNA from 1 species